CCAAAAUCCCCAUAAAGGACCCCAAAGUGACCACAAAAGCCCCCAAAAUGACCCCAAAUGCCCCCAAAGUGACCCCAAAAGCCCCCAAAAUGAUCCCAAAAUCGCCUCACUGACCCCAAAUAACCCCAAAAUCCCCAUAAAGGACCCCAAAGUGACCCCAAAUGCCCCCAAAGUGACCCUAAAAUCCCAUAAAUGCCCCCAAAUGCCCCCAAAUGAUCCCCAAGUGACCCCAAAUGACCCCAAAAUCCCCAUAAAUGACCCCAAAAUCCCCCAAAUGAACCCAAAAUCCCCCAAAAUGACCCCAAAAGCCCCCAAAAUGACCCCAAAAUCGCCCCACUGACCCCAAAUAACCCCAAAAUCCCCAUAAAUGACCCCAAAGUGACCCCAAAUGCCCCAAAAUGACCCCAAAAUCCCCAUAAAAAACCCCAAAGUGACCCCAAAUGCCCCAAAAUGACCCCAAAAUCCCCAUAAAGGACCCCAAAGUGACCCCAAAAGCCCCCAAAAUUACCCCAAAAUCCCCAUAAAGGACCCCAAAGGACCCCAAAUGAUCCCCAAGUGACCCCAAAUGACCCCAAAAUCCCCAUAAACGACCCCAAAUGCCCCCAAAGUGCCCCCAAAAGCCCCCAAAAUGACCCCAAAAUCGCCCCACUGACCCCAAAAAGCCCCCAAAAUGACCCCAAAGUGACCCCAAAUGCCCCCAAAAUGACCCCAAAAUCUCCCCAGUGACCCCAAAUAACCCCAAAAUCCCCAUAAAGGACCCCAAAGUGACCCCAAAUGCCCCCAAAAUGACCCCAAAAUCGCCCCACUGACCCCAAAAAGCCCCCAAAAUGACCCCAAAAUCCCCAGAAUUGACCCCAAAUAACACCAAAAUCCCCAUAAAGGACCCCCCAAAUGACCCCAAAUGCCCCCAAAGUGACCCUAAAAUCCCCAUAAAGGAGCCCAAAGUGACCCCAAAUGCCCCAAAAUGACCCCAAAAUCCCCAUAAAGGACCCCAGAAGAUCCCAAAGUGACCCCAAAAGCCCCAGAAAUGCCCUCAAAGUGACCCCAAAUGACCCCAAAAGCCCCCAAAAUGACCCCAAAAUCGCCCCACUGACCCCAAAUAACCCCAAAAUCCCCAUAAAGGACCCCAAAGUGACCCCAAAUGCCCCAAAAUGACCCCAAAAUCCCCAUAAAGGAUCCCAAAGUGUCCCCAAAUGCCCCCAAAUGACCCCAAAACCCCCAUAAAGGACCCCAAAUGCCCCCAAAGUGACCCCAAAAUCCCCAAAAAUGACCCCAAAAUCCCACCGAAUGACCCCAAAAAGCCCCCAAAAUGACCCCAAAAUCCCCAUAAAUUCCCUCAAAGAGACCCCAAAAUUCCCAUAAGUGACCCUAAAUGAUCCCAAAGUGACCCCAAAAUCCCUAUAAAUGCCCCCCAAGUGGCCCUAAAUGACCCCACAAUCGCCAUAAAUGACCCCAAAAUCCCCAGAAUUGAGCCCAAAUGAUCCCAAAAUGACCCCAAAAUCCCCAUAAAUGACCCCAAAGAGACCCCAAACAACCCCGAAUGACCCCAAAAUCCCCAUAAAUGACCCCAAAUGCCCACAAAGGGACCCCAAAAUCCCCAUAAAUGCCCCCAAAUGACCCCAAAAUCCCCAAAAUCCCCAUAAAUGACCCCAAAUGUCCCCAAAGUGACCCCAAAAUCCCCAUAAAUGACCCCAAGGUGACCCCAAAUGCCCCCAAAGUGACCCCAAAGUAACCCCAAAUGACCCCAAAAAUCCCCAUAAAUGACCCCAAAAUCCCCCAAACUGACCCCAAAACCCCAUAAGUGCCCCCAAAGUGCCCCCAAUGUGACCCCAAACAUCCCCCAAAAUGACCCCAAAUGCCCACAAAGUGACCCCAAAUGCCCCGAAGGGACCCCAAAAUCCCCAUAAAAGACCCCAAAA
ensembl:lncRNA